CGAGCCAUUUUUAAUAAUGAAAAUUUGUUGUACAUUUUUAUCCUUUUUAGUUCUUAACCUUAUAAUCAUGUCAAAUGGACAAAACACAAAUUUUCCACCAAUGAUGUUUAACUUCAACUUCUGCGUCGACUGCUCGGAUCAUUUCGACCCAAAGUGCUAUGUGAACAGGGAAGCCAUGGAAGUGCCCGAAAAUGAAAGACACAAAAUACGACCUUUCAAUAGGUUUACAGAUAAGCCCAAUAAAAAAUUAGCGAAAUGCCUAUCGGAAAAAUACGUAAUAACUGGUGACUUGGAGUCAAUGAUUUGCACAAUGUCGCCACUUUUGGGCUGCAAUUUAAUUGGUAAUGAGAUGGUCUUGAAGAAUGAAAAGGCCAGAUUAAUAACUUGUGUCAUCUGUGGUCGAUAUUGCGGAUGUAAAAUAUUAGGCUCCAAAUUUGAUACCAGUUGCGGACUUAUUGCUGUUAAACUGAAUUGUCUAUUGGCCAUAUCCUUGUCUCUGCUUCAAAUCAUUUUCUAUAUUUGUUGUUGAUUCUUUGCCACUUUUCAAAUAAA
rnacentral:sRNA from 1 species